GGGGGAAGCCCUUGCCAUACCACCACGGUUCAGGCCCAGACCUGGCCUCUAGGCUGAAAAGUGAGGCUUGUAGGCAGCAGUCCCCCUGGUGUUUGUGGAUAGGUGUGUAAAAAUACCUCUGCACACUGGGAGAAUGCGUGCCUCCAGGCCACCCGCCCACCGCCAAAGGAGAGCGAGAAACAGCUGCUCUUUUCCCGUCCACCUGCUUCGCAAAGGAAAUGUCUACUUAAAGGGUUCAUGAUUGUCCAGUUUUCUGUUGCCGGGAUAACAGAGCCAUGUCUUCAGAUUUAAAGAUCAUCUGGGACACGUAUUUCCCUUUCCUGGGUUUCUUCCCUCAGUUCCUGGCCCCAUCAACCACCUCAGAAACCUGCGAGCCCGCCUGAUUGCCCCACCGCAUCUCCACCUCCAUCGCCACUCACCUCCUGGCCAUUUCUCCAGUCCAUGUCCCCUUCAUCAGGAGUGCCUCGCUCAUUGUGUGCACCCUGCAGCUGGCACUCGUCAUCACUUUCAGUAGGUUCCCUGCCCCCAUUCUUGACUCUUCCUCCCCAAAUCCACAUGGCAGUGGCAGGGACCUAUCUAAAAUGUGAAUCUCCCAGGUACUUCCCUCUUCCCUGCUCAGAAAAAAAGACCCUGUUCUUUCCCAUAACUUAACUUCCCUCCUCUCCCUUCGUUCCCCACCCCCAAAAAAUGAGCCCCAGCCUCUCUGCCUUAUCUCCCCACACUUCUCAUAUCCCUCCUCGGGCUCUAGUAACACUGUCAGCUGUUGCCUGUGGCUUCCCCUACACCCAGAUUCCACGCCUCUGUUCAUGGGGUUCUCUUGCCUGUGAGGCUUGUGGCUUUCUUUCUUGGGCCUUUGUCCCUAGGAAGACUUCCCCGGAUCCCUGGUGGGAAGCAUACCCCUCCUCUGUGUUUCAGUAACAUCCAGGGCUUAUCACCAACCCCAUUUCAUUAAACUUCUG
ensembl:lncRNA